rnacentral:rRNA from 1 species
UACGUGGGGGUGCAAGCGUUGUUCGGAAUUACUGGGCGUAAAGCGUGUGUAGGCGGCUCGUUAAGUCUGGUGUGAAAUCCCCCGAGCUUAACUCGGGAACUGCAUCGGAAACUGGCGAGCUUGAGUUCGGGAGAGGGUGGUGGAAUUCCUGGUGUAGAGGUGAAAUUCGUAGAUAUCAGGAGGAACACCGGUGGCGAAGGCGGCCACCUGGACCGAUACUGACGCUGAGACACGAAAGCGUGGGGAGCAAACAGG